GAUGUAAAAACUCAAAGCGCAAAGCCAGCUUCAGGUCCCUGUCAAUCACCAAACUGCUCUUCCAAGUAUAUUUUCCAGGAAGAAGGAAGCCCGUGGCGGGGGGGGUGGGUGGAAAAGGGAGGGUAGUGGAGACGACGAGAGAAGGAAGAAAGAAAAAGCACGACGGAAUAUAAGGAAGGAAAGAUAGAGAGAAUGGGAGAAUGACAGCUACCCAGGCAGAGAGGAAGAACAGGAAACGCAGUCCCUGGGGAGGGGUGGGGGGAACAAAAACAACAAAAAACCUCGAAUAAACUACAAAUUCC
rnacentral:lncRNA from 1 species